rnacentral:tRNA from 5 species
GCGGGCGUAGUUCAGUGGUAGAACAUCAGCUUCCCAAGCUGAAUAUGAGGGUUCGAUUCCCUUCGCCCGCUCCA